rnacentral:rRNA from 1 species
UACGUAGGGUGCAAGCGUUAAUCGGAAUUACUGGGCGCAAAGCGUGCGCAGGCGGUUUUGUAAGUCUGUCGUGAAAUCCCCGGGCUCAACCUGGGAAUUGCGAUGGAGACUGCAAGGCUAGAAUCUGGCAGAGGGGGGUAGAAUUCCACGUGUAGCAGUGAAAUGCGUAGAGAUGUGGAGGAACACCGAUGGCGUAGGCAGCCUCCUGGGCCAAUCCUGACGCUCAGGCACGAAAGCGUGGGGAUCAAACAGG